GACGAACGCUGGCGGCGUGCUUAACACAUGCAAGUCGAACGGAAAGGCCCUGCUUUUGUUGGGUGCUCGAGUGGCGAACGGGUGUGUAACACGUGAGUAACCUGCCCUUGACUUUGGGAUAACUUCAGGAAACUGGGGCGCAUACCGGAUAUGAGCUCCUGCUGCAUGGUGGUGGUUGGUAAGUUUCGGCGGUUGGGGCUGGAUUCGAGGGUUAUCAGCUUGUUUGUGGGGUUGGGGCUGUCCAAGGCUUUGACGGGUAGCCGGCAUGAGAGGGUGACCAGCCACAUUGGGACUGCGAUACGGCCCAGACUCCUACGGGAGGCAGCAGUGGGGAAUAUUGCACAAUGGGCGGAAGCCUGAUGCAGCAACGCCGCGUGCGGGAUGACGUCUUUCGGGUUGUAAACCGCUUUCGACUGUGACGAAGCGUGAGUGACGGUAAUGGGUAAAGAAGCACCGGCUAACUACGUG
rnacentral:rRNA from 1 species